rnacentral:rRNA from 1 species
AUUGAACGCUGGCGGCGUGCUUAACACAUGCAAGUCGAUCGGUAACGCGGGGGCAACCCUGGCGACGAGAGGCGGACGGGUGAGGAACGCUUGGGAAUCUGCCUAUCAGCGGGGGACAACACGGGGAAACUCGUGCUAAUACCGCAUACGCUCUACGGAGGAAAGCCGGGGACCGCAAGGCCUGGCACUGAUAGAUGAGCCCAAGCCGGAUUAGCUAGUUGGCGGGGUAACGGCCCACCAAGGCGACGAUCCGUAGCUGGUCUGAGAGGACGAUCAGGCACACUGGGACUGAGACACGGCCCAGACUCCUACGGGAGGAGGCAGUGGGGAAUAUUGGACAAUGGGGGAAACCCUGAUCCAGCGACGCCGCGUGGGUGAAGAAGGCCUGCGGGUUGUAAAGCCCUUUCGGUAGGGACGAAAGCUCUCGACCUAACACGUCGGGAGGUUGACUUAACCUACAAAAGAAGCACCGGCUAACUCUGUGCCAGCAGCCGCAGUAAUAC